rnacentral:lncRNA from 1 species
GCCAUCUCUUUGAAUCAAUGUCGGACAUUGCUUCAGUGUAGUCCCUAGGGUCCUCCUUUGUGUCAUUGCCACCUAGAAGGUGCAAUUCCGCAAAUUCAUUGUCUAAGCCAUACCUCUUAGGUGGCUUACUAACCCGUUCAGAUCUACGUGGAGCUAGGGGUUCAGGAACAGGGCUGUCAACUUGUCGAGUGCUGGUUUGUGGUUCAUCAUUAAUAUAGCAGUUAUG